rnacentral:lncRNA from 1 species
UGCCAUAUAUACUAGACGUUCUAUGUAUUGGAUGCUGAGGCUACGAUGUUUGGCUGAAAUAAAAACUCAAAGCCCCCACAAUAUUGAACCACCAUUCCAGACCCAGCCAAGGUUUGGAACAUAAAGUGAGCUGAAUGAAUCAGCCUGCAGGCAACCCAGAGAAAGUAAUUGUUCAUCCUAGCAGCACGGCUGCUUUUCUGCUUAGCAUCUGAACAAGUUAAUUUGGAAACACAGCCUUCUGGAAAGAAAUGGCGCUUCUCUCAGCAUCCCAUGGAUUCAUGAGCAGCUCCUUGAAUGCAAAUAUUGCCUGAUAUUUUCAUGGUAUUCACAGAUUUGGGAAGUGACGAUGGAUUUAAAUACAGGACAUCCUAUCUGCAUUCCUAAACAUAGAAGACAAGGUGUUGGAUCAACUUGCCCCACAUAAAAGAGAUUAUG